rnacentral:rRNA from 1 species
AUGGAUUUCGUGGUUUCCGACCUGGAGGCGCGCCAAUCCAUGGUCCUCGAUGCUGAGACCAUCUGCUACGACGGCGAGCCCAUUUGCGUCGACGUCGACGGAGAAACCCUCUCCAAGGUCUUGCACUACUGCAAGAAGCACGCCGCCGCCGGCGACGAUGACGACCUCCUCAGAGCCUGGGACGCCAAGUUCGUCCGCGAUCUCGACCACGACACCCUCUGCAAUGUCAUCCUGGCUGCGGACAGCCUCUGCGUCCAAGGAUUGCUCCGUCUGACCUGCAACACCGUUGCCAAAAUGAUCAAGGGCAAGUCGUGCCAUGAGAUCUGCGACAUCUUCAACCUCUGGAAUUAUCUCACCCAUGUCAAAAAGAAAAUGCACCUCCUCAAAAAUGUCAACAUGGUUCAUGGGCGGUCAGAGCUGGAGGACCCUAAUCUGGACCGGAACCGGGCGCUCAGACUGGAGGAAAAUGCUUUGAGGGCUAUUCACAUUGGUCGCUGCCAAGAGUUUACCGAGUACGACCCCAAGCAGGAUUUUUUUGUCUGUAGCCGCCUCUCUGACCCCAACAUAGCUUUCUUUGACCUCGACAAAGAGUCCAGGAUUUCUCGUGGGCCGCCACUCGACGGCAUCACUGGACCUCUCUCGGAUUGGGGCCUGCAGUCUUUGGUCAACAUCAUUUCGUUCAAGGUGGCAGAAUCUGAGGUGGGCUACAACUUCAGCGUGUUUGGGACUGUGAUUGCAAGGGAUGAGGUGCACUACAAAUGUCUCUAUCUGUUUAGGCGUGGGAAGGACGAUGCCCAGAUCAUCUCCUCGCCGGUCUGUACCCGUAUCUCUUUAGUUUUUGGGCUGCAUGAUGAUAGUAUUGUUCGGUCAUUAUUACAUAUACUCCCUCCGUUCCUAAAUAUAAGUCCUUUUAGAGAUUUCACUAUGGACUACAUACAAAGUAAAAUGAGUGAAUCUACACUCUAA